CAGGUGUCCCUCAGCAGUACGUACAAAAGGAUGGCCUACAUGAGCUCAAACAGUCAUCAUACAUAGAUAUGACCUUGGGACCUAUGUAGUGAAAACUUGGAUAAAAAAAACAAGAUAAAAAAAAAGUUUUCUACAGAAAAGUCAUGGUUCAUCCGAUUACAGGCCCCUCUGAAUGUGGCAAGCUCUACUGACACCCACGUGUUGCAUGUCUCUUUCUCUGUUUUGCAUUGAUAUUUGACAUGGUGCUCUAGGUGGUGGUUGCCCCAAAUCCAUACUUCAGGGAAAGUCUUCCCAUCUCUCUUUCUUCCUUCUUAUUCACUCUCUUCCCUACUUUUCUACUACCAACUUUGUUUCUUCUAUGCU